GUUUCCUACGGGAGAUAUGAACACUUGCUCUGACUCAGGUUCCUGCCAUGGUCAGUCUCCAUCACCAUUAUUAAAAUCCAGCCCUCACCAGAACUGAUGCAGGUCUUGCCCUUGAACCUCCUAAAUGGUGGCCUAAAUAAAUCUCCUUUUCAGCCUGGGCAUGGUGGUGCACAUCUGUAAUCCAAGCAACUCAGGAGGCUGAGGCAGGAGGAUCGCAAGUUUGCGGUCAGCCUCGGCAACUUAGUGGGACUCUUGUCUCAAAAAGCACAAAGGGCUGGGAAUGUGGCUCAGUGAUACAGCACCCCUGGGUUCAAUCCCCAGUGUCUCCCGCCUCCUCUCCUCUCUCUCUCUCUCUCUCUCUCUCUCUCUCUCACACACACACACACACACACAUACAAAGUAAAAUAAAUAAACUUCCUUUUCUCCAUAGGUAGCCUGUUCCAGGUAUUUCAUUAUGGUAAUGACAAAUACAUAUUUAAUAAUCUACUAUAAUUGUAUGUCAUAUAAACAAUGAUAUUGGUGAUAUAUUUGUACUUUGUGAAUAGUAUAUAUAUGUGGAUACCAAUAAAGUAUAGAUACAUAAAAGAUGAAAUAUAGAUCACAUAAUAUUUAAUGAGUAUAAUAUAUACAGGUGGUCUCCAACUUAUAAUGGUUUGGCUUAUGAUUUUUCAUACUAUCAUUCUGUUUUUCCACGUUCAGCACAAUAUUCAGUAAAUUGCAUGCGAUAUUCAAC
rnacentral:lncRNA from 1 species